AGUCGACGAUGAUGCCCAGCUCGCUGGGCGGAUUAGUGGCGAACGGGUGAGUAAUACGUGAGUAACCUGCCCUUGACUCUGGGAUAAGCCUGGGAAACUGGGUCUAAUACUGGAUACUACCUCUCACCGCAUGGUGGGUGGUGGAAAGGGUUUUACUGGUUUUGGAUGGGCUCACGGCCUAUCAGCUUGUUGGUGGGGUAAUGGCUCACCAAGGCGACGACGGGUAGCCGGCCUGAGAGGGUGACCGGCCACACUGGGACUGAGACACGGCCCAGACUCCUACGGGAGGCAGCAGUGGGGAAUAUUGCACAAUGGGCGGAAGCCUGAUGCAGCGACGCCGCGUGAGGGAUGACGGCCUUCGGGUUGUAAACCUCUUUCAGUAGGGAAGAAGCGAGAGUGACGGUACCUGCAGAAGAAGCGCCGGCUAACUACGUGCCAGCAGCCGCGGUAAUACGUAGGGCGCAAGCGUUGUCCGGAAUUAUUGGGCGUAAAGAGCUCGUAGGCGGUUUGUCGCGUCUGCUGUGAAAGCCCGGGGCUCAACCCCGGGUCUGCAGUGGGUACGGGCAGACUAGAGUGCAGUAGGGGAGACUGGAAUUCCUGGUGUAGCGGUGAAAUGCGCAGAUAUCAGGAGGAACACCGAUGGCGAAGGCAGGUCUCUGGGCUGUUACUGACGCUGAGGAGCGAAAGCAUGGGGAGCGAACAGGAUUAGAUACCCUGGUAGUCCAUGCCGUAAACGUUGGGCACUAGGUGUGGGGGACAUUCCACGUUUUCCGCGCCGUAGCUAACGCAUUAAGUGCCCCGCCUGGGGAGUACGGCCGCAAGGCUAAAACUCAAAGGAAUUGACGGGGGCCCGCACAAGCGGCGGAGCAUGCGGAUUAAUUCGAUGCAACGCGAAGAACCUUACCAAGGCUUGACAUUCACCGGACCGCCCCAGAGAUGGGGUUUCCCUUCGGGGCUGGUGGACAGGUGGUGCAUGGUUGUCGUCAGCUCGUGUCGUGAGAUGUUGGGUUAAGUCCCGCAACGAGCGCAACCCUCGUUCUAUGUUGCCAGCACGUGAUGGUGGGGACUCAUAGGAGACUGCCGGGGUCAACUCGGAGGAAGGUGGGGAUGACGUCAAAUCAUCAUGCCCCUUAUGUCUUGGGCUUCACGCAUGCUACAAUGGCCGGUACAAAGGGUUGCGAUACUGUGAGGUGGAGCUAAUCCCAAAAAGCCGGUCUCAGUUCGGAUUGAGGUCUGCAACUCGACCUCAUGAAGUCGGAGUCGCUAGUAAUCGCAGAUCAGCAACGCUGCGGUGAAUACGUUCCCGGGCCUUGUACACACCGCCCGUCAAGUCACGAAAGUUGGUAACACCCGAAGCCGGUGGCCUAACCCCUUGUGGGAGGAGCCGUCGA
rnacentral:rRNA from 1 species